GGGCAAGUGAAGUGGUUUAAGUGUUGGACUAGGACUCUGGAGACAGGGUUCGACUCCCCUCUUGGCCA